GUUCCAAAUAUACAGUAACAAUACAACUUGCAAAAUAAUACAACACUUAAUAUAAAAGGACAUGUUUGAAGAAACAUGAAAACAACAAAAAGAAAACAGUAAAGACUAUAAGGAGGCAAGAAAAAAAAUACCUCUUGCGUAGAUUAUACAUGAGAACAAAGUAAGAUUAAAUGUUAAAGUCGUCCCAAAUGGACAAAUUAUUCUUAGAGGUGAAGGAAUUGUGUACACUUGUUGUAAGCUUGUCAAUCAAUCUAUUAUCGUUAAAGGAACAAGAAACAUGUAUUCCUGACAUUACAGUGUUAAAAACACUAUCUAGCCCCCCUGACUUUCCUAAAUGUAAUAUAAUCUUACCUAUAUUCCAGUCUGCUGGUGCUGGCUCUGCCUCUGAUCCUCCUCCUUGGCUGAUAUCAUCAUCAGUAAUGAUCUCAACUAAUCACAAUACUUUCCCAUUGGAAAGCACUGGAUUGGCAAUUCUGAUGAUCUCAGCCAAGGAGGCAGGCCAGGGUGGAGCCACAUUCUGCACUAGCCAAUCCACAUCU